CCCGUAGGCGGUUCGUCGCGUCCGGUGUGAAAGUCCAUCGCUUAACGGUGGAUCCGCGCCGGGUACGGGCGGGCUUGAGUGCGGUAGGGGAGACUGGAAUUCCCAGUGUAACGGUGGAAUGUGUAGAUAUCGGGAAGAACACCAAUGGCGAAGGCAGGUCUCUGGGCCGUCACUGACGCUGAGGAGCGAAAGCGUGGGGAGCGAACA
rnacentral:rRNA from 1 species